rnacentral:ncRNA from 1 species
UGAUAGAGGCUGCGGUCACCAAGAGUAGCCCGCCUGACGCAGGCCAUGCGGACGGGGGAAAGGGGGGGAUCGCCGAGGAGCGGAGAAGAGCGCCUGAUCGGAUCCGCGUCCGGGGCUGCGGAGAAUAUCCGCAGCACUGUCGCCUCCCGCAGGGGGCGGAGAGCUGUCAG